rnacentral:rRNA from 2 species
GGCAGGCUUGAGUCUUGUAGAGGGGGGUAGAAUUCCAGGUGUAGCGGUGAAAUGCGUAGAGAUCUGGAGGAAUACCGGUGGCGAAGGCGGCCCCCUGGACAAAGACUGACGCUCAGGUGCGAAAGCGUGGGGAGCAAACAGGAUUAGAUACCCUGGUAGUCCACGCCGUAAACGAUGUCUACUUGGAGGUUGUGCCCUUGAGGCGUGGCUUCCGGAGCUAACGCGUUAAGUAGACCGCCUGGGGAGUACGGCCGCAAGGUUAAAACUCAAAUGAAUUGACGGGGGCCCGCACAAGCGGUGGAGCAUGUGGUUUAAUUCGAUGCAACGCGAAGAACC